GUGAAGAAGCGGGAAUAUUUUAAUAAGACGAGAAGACCCCAUGGAGCUUCAAACCCAAUUACACCCCUAACCCCUAUAACUACUUAACCCUUAGGGCUUUGUAUCAUUGGUUUUAGGUUGGGGCGACCAAGGAGUACAACAAAACCUCCACAAUGAACGGAACUACUCCCUUAUCUAAGAGCUACACCUCUAGGAAUUAAUACAUUAACAUAAAAUGAUCCAUUUUUGAUCAAUGAACCAAGUUACCCUGGGGAUAACAGCGCAAUCCAUUUCAAGAGCCCCUAUCGACAAAUGGGUUUACGACCUCGAUGUUGGAUCAGGGUAUCCUAGUGGUGCAGCAGCUACUAAAGGUUCGUUUGUUCAACGAUCAAAACCCU
rnacentral:rRNA from 1 species